rnacentral:rRNA from 1 species
UACGUAGGGUCCGAGCGUUGUCCGGAAUUAUUGGGCGUAAAGAGCUCGUAGGCGGUCUGUCGCGUCGGCUGUGAAAACACGGGGCUCAACUCCGUGCCUGCAGUCGAUACGGGCAGACUAGAGUUCGGUAGGGGAGACUGGAAUUCCUGGUGUAGCGGUGAAAUGCGCAGAUAUCAGGAGGAACACCGGUGGCGAAGGCGGCCCUCUGGACGGUGACUGACGCUGAGACGCGAAAGCGUGGGGAGCAAACAGG